rnacentral:rRNA from 1 species
CUACGGGAUGCUCCAGUGAGGAAUAUUGCACAAUGGGGGGAACCCUGAUGCAGCAACGCCGCGUGGAGGAUGACGCAUUUCGGUGUGUAAACUCCUUUUAUAUGUCAAGAAAAUGACGGUAGCAUAUGAAUAAGCACCGGCUAACUCCGUGCGCAGCAGCCGCGGUAAUACGGAGGGUGCAAGCGUUACUCGGAAUCACUGGGCGUAAAGGACGCGUAGGCGGGUUGGAAAGUCAGGUGUGAAAUCCUACAGCUUAACUGUAGAACUGCACUUGAAACUUCUAAUCUAGAGUAUGGGAGGGGGAGAUGGAAUUAGUGGUGUAGGGGUAAAAUCCGUAGAUAUCACUAGGAAUACCUAAAGCGAAGGCGAUCUCAUGGAACAUUACUGACGCUAAGGCGUGAAAGCGUGGGGAGCAAACAGGAUUAGAUACCCCUGUAGUC